GGGAUACGGAUACAGAUACAAAGAGAGGAGAAAAUUCACAGUAAAGAGCAAUAGGAAGUAAGAGAAAUAGUCAGAAAAUGAUCAGAGAUAACAUCAAAAAGAAUAUGAGAGAACAAUCAAAGAGAUAUUAUUAGGAAGUAAAGGCAUUUGUCAGAGGAAUUCUAUCCCGACCCAAGAAAUAUGGAUUAAAUAAAUAAGAAAAUGGAAGGAAAUUUAAAAAGGAAAAAUCGGCAGGGCUCGUCGACGGGGCUUCUUUCGUCAACAAAGUCCCUUCUAGCUUGGCGAUGAAAUUCAGAGGUUCGUUGAUGAGUGAACACCGAAAGAUUUUGGGAAUUCGAAAAUCUCAGGUUCGUCGACGAGGUCACUCUGUCGUCGACGAACUCCCUUCUUAUGCUCGUCGACAAGGACAUUGUCUCGUUGAUGAGGCUGACUGAUUCAAGGGGUUUAUAAAUAUCAUUUCUCAUUUCUUAAUUGCUAAGAAACCAAAAUCCUCUCUCCCUCUCUCUAGAGCUCGAACCGACUCUCUCUCUCUCUCUCUCUCUCGCUAAGAUUCGGACUAUAUGUUACCUGAAUCAACGAUCCGAUGUUACCAUGUGGAUCAGGAGGAGAAUCUCUACGAUUAUAGCGAAUCGGAAUUUCAUUUCGAGAAUUUUUGGGUUUUGAUCCAAAAUCGAGGUUUUGGGAACUUGGUUCGCUGUUUAGGAACUCUAUAGUUCGUGUUUCGAUUUUAGGGGAAAGGUAAGAGAUUUCUAUUUAUAUCAGUUAUUUUUGUAAUCUAAAUGGAUAAAACUAUGAUUUACGAUUCUGCCAAUGUUUUGAUUACUUAUUUGGAAGAAUCUAUCAGGUGAAAUUACAGGAUUUUCGUGCUUACAGUUUUGGAAAAAUCGAGAGUUUUAGGUAUCAUCUCUGUUUUUGUUGAAAAACUAUAUAUUUGGUUAAAUUGUAAUAUAGAGAUGACUGUACCUUUGAUUAUGUUAAAUUAUGUUAAACUGUAUUUUCGAAUUAUCUGUUAUUAGAUUAUUUGUUUACCGAAAUAAGUGUGAAAUGAGAUGAUGAAUUGAAUGAUGUGUUUUGUGGAAAA